AUAAACGAAACCAAGGUGGAAACAGGGCCACAGAGAACACACUAGGAACUCAGGCACAGCAAACCUGUUUCCCACAGAAAAAUCAAACAGUUUGGGGGCAAGGCAGGCCUUCAGACACCAGCACACCUACUAGAGACGAUGGUGGUCUCUUGACCCAAACACUCAGGUUCCACCGCUCCGAGGAGCCCACUUCCAGCACACCUCAGAGAAACUAGAGGAAAGAGUCUUAUUUUCCUCCAAGACUGGGGCAAUAUUCCAAGCCCCAUUGUGAA
rnacentral:lncRNA from 1 species